GCCGGAGUGGUGGAACUGGCAGACGCGCGGGACUCAAAAUCCCGUGUCCGCAAGGACGUGGGGGUUCGACCCCCCCCUCCGGCACCA
rnacentral:tRNA from 1 species